CUCCUGGCGAAAUUAUUGGGAAACGGGUUGGGCAUGAGCUGGAGGCCCUGGGGUUCAAACCUCCCACCAGCGGAUAUGUGCCGGUACCUGUUGGGAGAAGGGUAUGGAGAGAACAGAGAGAUCAAAGAAGAGAUCCAGGGACAGUGGAGAGACGGGGAAGGGGAAGGGUGAUGCCGCUGUCCACAAGCUAGUUAGCCAUCAGGCGGCAGGGAAUCCCUUCUGUCUCUCCACCUAAUCGGAUAUUGACCUGUGCCAAAUGGCCUGCACCUUAUGUGUGUGUGUUGGUGUUAGGCUGGUGAAAUAAUGUCGUGCAGCUAGUAAGCCUUCCAUCCUUUUGACAUACUGCAUAUAAUAUUAUGAUCCAGAUCCCAAUCCAGAUUCUAACUGUCCUUCAAGUCUCACCUUUUCCACUAAUGCAGUGACAGUGGGAAAAUCACAGAACUCAGCUCAACUGGAUAACUGCCUCUUCUCAGUAAGCCUGCGGUAUUGGGUCGAACAGUAGGAAACAGACUUUUGUUUCUUUUAACACAGCUGAAUAGUGGCCAGUUUUCUAUGACUCAGCGCACUUUGCCCCUGGUUCGGCAGAUAGUCCCCUGUUUGCUGUUGUUGGUUUAUGCAGGGGCUCUCAGCCUGGCUGCACAUUACAAUCACCCUGGGAGCUUUUAAACACAACCCACCCACACUGCCCUCAAGGUCAGUUAGUUAGAAUCUCCAGAGGGAGGCUCAAACCUCAGCAUUUGAAAAAAGAGCCCCUAGGCCGGACCCAGUGGCUCACACCUGUAAUCCCAGCACUUUGGGAGGCCGA
rnacentral:lncRNA from 1 species